GGCCUGAUGGUCUAGUAGUAUGAUUCCUUGUUAGGGUUUUACGUAAAAUGCUUACGUAAGCAACCUCGAGGAGGUCCCGGGUUCAAUUCCCGGUUAGGCCC
rfam:Schizopora paradoxa strain KTC8140 unplaced genomic scaffold SCHPAscaffold_00129, whole genome shotgun sequence.